GGGUCAGUAGGUUGGUCGUGCCACCGGUACGUACUGGUCUCACUGAUUCCUCCUUCCUGAAGAACCGUAAUGCCAUCAAUUUGGUGUUGCGGGGAAACAGGACUGUUACUUUGAAAAAAUUAGAGUGUUUAAAGCAAGCUAAUGCUUGAAUACAUUAGCAUGGAAUAAUGAAAUAGGACGAUCGAUCCUAUUUUGUUGGUUUCUAGGAUUGACGUA
rnacentral:rRNA from 1 species